rnacentral:rRNA from 2 species
UACAGAGGGUGCGAGCGUUGUCCGGAAUCACUGGGCGUAAAGGGCGCGUAGGUGGCGGGACAAGUGUGUGGUGAAAGCCUGGGGCUCAACCCCAGGUCGGCCAUGCAAACUGUCUUGCUCGAGCGUAGUAGAGGCAGGUGGAAUUCCGGGUGUAGCGGUGGAAUGCGUAGAGAUCCGGAAGAACACCGGUGGCGAAGGCGGCCUGCUGGGCUACUGCUGACACUGAGGCGCGACAGCGUGGGGAGCAAACAGG